CCCAUUUUGGUACUCUCUCCCAAGGUGACACAAUUCAAGUAACGUAAUAUUUUUUACAUUUUCAUGUAUGCAGUUCAUGCAUGUUCCUUUGAAUUUUGAUUUUUUUUGGUAAUGUUGCUAAAUAUUCUAAAACAAUUGUCCUCCCACAUUAUGUUUACUUCCGAUAUCUUCAAUUUCAGUGAUCAUAAUUCAAUUAAUGUAUUACUGAUCG
rnacentral:lncRNA from 1 species